UACGUAGGGUGCGAGCGUUAAUCGGAAUUACUGGGCGUAAAGCGUGCGUAGGCGGUUCGUUAAGUGCGUCGUGAAAGCCCCGGGCUCAACCUGGGAAUGGCGAUGGAAACUGGCGGGCUGGAGUAUGGCAGAGGGGGGUGGAAUUCCGCGGUGUAGCAGGUGAAAUGCGUAGAGAUGCGGAGGAACACCGAUGGCGAAGGCAGCCCCUGGGCCAAUACUGACGCUCGAGGCACGAAAGCGUGGGGAGCAAACAGG
rnacentral:rRNA from 1 species